GGGGCUGAUUCUGGAUUCGACGGGAUUCGCGAAACCCAAGGUGCAUGCCGAGGGGCGGUUGGCCUCGUAAAAAGCCGCAAAAAAAUAGUCGCAAACGACGAAAACUUCGCACCUGCUGCUUUAGCAGCUUAAUCAGCCUAAGAAACUGAAGGUGUCCUCUCUCCCUAGCCUCCGCUCUUAGGACGGGGAUCAAGAGAGGUCAAACCUAAAAGAGAUCGCGUGGAUGCCCUGCCUGGGGUUGAAGCGUUAAAUCCAAUCAGGCUAGUUUGUUAGUGGCGUGUCUGUCCGCAGCUGGCAAGCGAAUGUAAAGACCAGACUAAGCAUGUAGUACCGACGGUGUAGGAAUUUCGGACGCGGGUUCAACUCCCGCCAGCUCCACCA
rfam:Dickeya dadantii 3937, complete genome.